UACGGAGGGUGCAAGCGUUGCUCGGAAUUACUGGGCGUAAAGCGCGUGCAGGCGGCUUGGUAAGUCGGAUGUGAAAUCCCGGAGCUCAACUCCGGAACUGCACCCGAUACUGCCUCGCUAGAGUCCCGGAGAGGAUGGCGGAAUUUCCGGUGUAGAGGUGAAAUUCGUAGAUAUCGGAAGGAACACCAGCGGCGAAGGCGGCCAUCUGGACGGUGACUGACGCUCAGACGCGAAAGCGCGGGGAGCAAACAGG
rnacentral:rRNA from 1 species